UAGGGANUCUUCGGCAAUGGGGGGAACCCUGACCGAGCAACGCCGCGUGAGUGAAGAAGGUUUUCGGAUCGUAAAGCUCUGUUGUUAAGGAAGAACGAGUGUGAGAAUGGAAAGUUCAUGCUGUGACGGUACUUAACCAGAAAGGGACGGCUAACUACGUGCCAGCAGCCGCGGUAAUACGUAGGUCCCGAGCGUUGUCCGGAUUUAUUGGGCGUAAAGCGAGCGCAGGCGGUUAGAAAAGUCUGAAGUGAAAGGCAGUGGCUCAACCAUUGUAGGCUUUGGAAACUGUUUAACUUGAGUGCAGAAGGGGAGAGUGGAAUUCCAUGUGUAGCGGUGAAAUGCGUAGAUAUAUGGAGGAACACCGGUGGCGAAAGCGGCUCUCUGGUCUGUAACUGACGCUGAGGCUCGAAAGCGUGGGGAGCGAACAGGAUUAGAUACCCUGGUAGUCCACGCCGUAAACGAUGAGUGCUAGGUGUUAGGUCCUUUCCGGGACUUAGUGCCGCAGCUAACGCAUUAAGCACUCCGCCUGGGGAGUACGACCGCAAGGUUG
rnacentral:rRNA from 1 species